rnacentral:lncRNA from 1 species
UCCGUAAAGUUAGUUUCACUCCACAUAGCAGCUGCUCUAUUUCUUCCCUUUUCACUUUCUCUUUCCCACCAUUUGCCUGAAGCUCCUCAUCCCCUUCCUUGUGCCUCCUCAGAAUUCUACCAGUGCACCUCAUUCAGACAUUCAUCAAGAAAAAGGCCAGCUGAAGGCAGACAGCCAACAAAACUCAGUCGUUAGCCACAGCCCUGGCUGUCCUCGUCCAUCAAGCCUGCCCAUUGUGAGCUUCCAUUCAUCUUACCUGUCUGUUAUGGAAGAGUGAAGUGGAAAAGGCAUGGAGGACUCAGAAGACCUGCUACCGAGAAGAGCCCCAUUGCAAUCAGAAGAUUAUUUAUGGAAAAAAGCAAAAUGGAGAUAUUUAAAAGACGGAGAGAGACAGCAGAAAGCUGCUUAAGAAAUUGCUUUGAGUCCACAGGAGGGAAGCACAAAGGAGAUGGGAUAAUAGUGUUAUACACUACAUGAUAUCACAGAGCUGGCAGAGUUAAUGAGUAUCUUGGACAAUUGCACCAAAUGCAAUGGAUUGGGAUCACUAAAUCAAGACGUAAUUUGAUAGAAAUAAAGAAAGAAUAUAUGGAUAGUACAUCUUCUAAGCAUUUGUAUCUCUUGAAGUAUGAAGUUCUUGCCUCCAUUUCUGACAGGCAAUUUGGCUGGAAUUAUUUGAAAUAAUCCCUGUUUGAUUAUCUGCUGGCAUUUUAGUGGGAGGUGAGUAUAUAUAAAUAUCAGAUAAGGCCAGGCACUUUGGGAGGCCUAGGUAUGAGGAUC